rnacentral:tmRNA from 1 species
GGGGGCGUAAUGGCUUCGACGGAGAUUUUGAGGCCUGAGGUAGCAUACCGAGCUUUUUGUCAACUCGUAAAACCUGACAAAACUUAAACAUAAUCGCAGACGAUUAUAACUACGCUGUAGCUGCUUAAGGCAGCUUCCGUCCUGCUGAAAUCUCUCCUGCGGAUUUCGGGUCAGGGCGUCGACUUUGCAGGAUCGCUUAUUAAGGGCGCCUGAACCUUAAGGGCUAAACUUUUCAGGAUAUAUUGCCAUGUAUCCAUCUCAAAGGGGACAAGGCAGCGAAUAUAAAUUUUGAGAUAAGUAUGUAGAAGCCCAGGUUGAUUGUUUUCGGACGCGGGUUCAACUCCCGCCGCCUCCACCA